GUGGCUGUUGAAGGUCCCACAGGACAGUGAUGUUUCCUUCACCCACCCCACUCCCGGGGACUGCCUGCCCUGAGCCGUGCCCUGUGCCCCCCCGGCAGCCCCCUGCUCUUGGCAGCACGUCGGGGUCUGGCAGCUUCAUCGUGCUGAUGUGGGGAGCAUUCCCUGGGAAUGGGACACGGCUCACAGCCCUCCAGGCUUCCAGCCGGGGAUCCUGAUGCACAGCAGCGCAGGGCUCCGGGUCCCUGGCUGGGCGGCACCCACCGGCACCCGUGGGCGGGCGUGGGGUGAAACCUGCCAAAAGGAGGGAGAAACAGAUUAAGCUGUUUCCAUUCAGCAGGAAUAAUUGUCUUCCUAAUUACUGCCGUAAUUACUGUCCCAAGGGGGAAGUGGAGGGCGAGGAAAGCUCCGUGGAGAGGGGCCAGGAAAGUCGGACUCGGGGUGGGGUUUGGGGGGGGUGGUGCCGCCCGCCGCCUUCGCUCCACUGCAGCUUUUCCUGCCUCUCCUCUAAAGCCCCAAAACGAGAUCCUGGCAGAAACCCCGGCAUGAGACACGGUGACGUGGCCAGUCCUGAGCAGGGCGGGAGCAAAGCCCGAGGGACAUGCUGGAGGCGGUCGGGAGCGCAGGGUCAGGGUGGGCAGUGGGAAAGGGACCCCCGCGCAGGGACCGUGGUGGUCCCGGGGCCGCGGCUCAGCGGCUACCCUCGGUACUGCCUUGAGCCAUCCGGACAUUCCCGGUGGCACAGAGACUCCCAGCCCCGCACCCACAGGAGGGCAGGGCCACAGCGCCAGAAUCCACCGGGGCUGCAUUUUUCCCGCUAUCUUCGCAGGGAAUCACAGCCGGAUGAUCCGUGGAACGACUGACGGCAUCUUCCAGAGCAGCUCCGGCUGUCCUCGCACCGCCUGGCCUCGCAGUAACGCCAUGCCCAGGCUGGGGUGACACCGCCGUGGAUGCGGAGCCGCUCCCGGCGGUUGCUGGGGUUUGGGGCACGGCGGGUUAAAGGGGAGGGCUGUUCCCAGGUAGAUGUUGGGGCUGCACGUGAUAGAAACCCCUUCAGAGGUACCCCCUGCCCUGCCCUGACACCAGGGAUCUGCAGGGUGAGCAACUGGCAUAGCUGGGGGGGGCAGAGCCGCCAGCCAGAUCUUCUCCAGGGGGAAAACAGUGACCAGGGUGCUCAGGGUGCACCCAGGAAUGUGGCAUCUCCCAGGGCGGAGGCUCAGGUGGGAUGGGGACAGGGGCGGUGCUGUGCCAGCAGGAUGAUGUUCCUGCCCAGGCCGGGCUGCACGGCAGGAGAGGCACCAGGGGAGCCGAGGGACAGAGCGGGAACACGGGGAGCGUGGACUCCACACGCACACACACGUGUGCACAGCUGGCUUCCACGUGUGCACACACAUGUACACACACGUGCAGGCAGCUGCCCGGGCGGGGGUGUGGAGCCCUCCUGCCUCUCCCAGGGACAGGCACUCCCGGAAGGGACCGUCAGGGAAAGCCCCGGCAGCUCCGAUGCCGCCGUCCUUGCGACACUUCGACACUUCGCAGCGGCCGGGGUGGCUGAUCCCAUCAGCCCCGUGGAAGGGAGCAGGAGGCAAGAGGCAGCUCCAGCACCGCCUGACUGGAAUCUGGGCACCCACUCUGCCUCCGGCAAGGACACAGGACACCGUGCUCCAGCCCUGCAGUCCUGGUGCCCAUGCAGAGCCCCCACCUCCCUGUUCCCAGCACCAGGACCCCAUGCCCCCUGGCCUGUCCUGGUCUCCAGGCUGGCCAGGAGAUGCAGGGCUGAGGGGCUGGUGGCAGUGCAGGGCUGUGGACCGUGUCGGGUCACAGGACGUCCCUCAGGAACCAGCGAUUGUUCCCAGAGGCAGAACAAUGCCCGGAGAGCUGCCAGGGCACCACGGGCUGCUCCACAGCGCCCGGCCAGGGAGCCACCUCUGCUACCUCGGCCAGGCCAGCCCCAGGCAGGGUCUCCCGGCCCCUCGCUGCCACCUGUGCCCUACCUGUCCCCCGCAGCAGGAAGUUUCAUUGGCUGCUCCUGUCACCACCUUCGUGCCUCCCCUGAGGCUCGUCCAGCAGCAGCUGCCUGCAGGAGGGAGGGGACAGGGGAUAUUCACGCUCGGAUGGAGCAUGUCAGGUGCUGGGGCACUGGCCAGGUCAUGGGGACCAACCUUCUGCCCCAGGAGGAUUUAAAACCCUGCCUGUGCCCAGAGAGGCAGCCCCCACGCUGCCCAUCCGUGCCAUGCGGCUGCUGUCGCUGCUGCUGCUCUUGGGGCUCUGCUGCCUCUGGGCCCGGCUGCUCUCUGCAGAAUUCACCUAGCCCCCACCUGGACCUGGACUGAGGACCUGGAGUAUGCAGCCAAUCCGCACCAGACAGACAGACAACAGCUGGACAGCCAGACAGCCGAACAGCCAGCCAUGGAGGGCUUCAUCAGCUGCUGGAUGAGCACCCAGCACCCUGAUCCCACCUCAGCUCUGUGCUGACCAUGGGGGCCUCCGUGCCCCCCACCUCCCAGUAAACCCAGUCUGUGAUGAACACUG